CUAACCUGGAUGGCUGUGAAUUGGCUUAAUCUCAGCUGGCAACUGUGAGCAAUUAAUAAAUUCUCUCACAGUGGUAUCUGGGAUUAUGUUAAACACAGCAAUUUCUUUGCUCUAGUCAGUGAAUCAAUAGACCUGUGCUGCCACCUA
rnacentral:miRNA from 1 species